GCCAUAAAGGACUUUUGCAGCUGUGGAGCUGGACGGGGGUUUAGUCGCCUGCGACUCAGGAGCCACACACACACACAGAGAAAAAGACGCGCACUUUGCAACAUCUUCCCAGAGCCUCGCUUGCAUUACUAUUAUUUUUAGCAAUCAUUUUUUCCCUCCUUCUCGAUUUGCUCCCCCGCUCCAACUUCCCAGCGUCUCUUUCUCUUUCUCUCUCCAAAUCCCUCGCCCGUCCUAGCUGUGUGUUUUUCAGUUUAACAUCUAUUUUCCCUCCGGCUGCGCUCGGGAACCGUGUUUGGGAACCGUAUCUUGGACUGCUAACAUCUGCAAAACCGAGGCGUCCUCUCUGCCCAAGAAACAUUUGAAGAAGCGGGGCUGUUGAAGCGAUCGCCCACCUCAAAUCCCAUUCCUUCCCCAGCCCAGUUUUUGGAAGACGAUUUUGGAGAAGGGACAAGGAAGAAGAUUUUCCCCGCCCCACCGCUGCCAAAAGGUAAGGUGAAGCGAGGGACUUUCUGUUGCUGUUUUUUUCCCCCUAGUAAACGCUGCGAUCCUUUGAGGCUUGGUUUGGGGUGGGCAGAGGAGCGGUCCUAGUAAUUCCUGGCUGAAUGAUUUGAGAGGGUGAGGAGAUCGACUAGAUCCGGCUUGCUCGGAAAGUCUGGGAUUUAUUCACUGACGGAAAGUUGAUGCGCCCGGAUACCCAAUUACGCUUAAGCGGCGCUGUGUGGUCCGUUUCAGUGAAAUUGACAAGACGGCGCUGCGUUGUUUCGGAGGGUGGAAAUGCAAGUCCGUGGAAGCUGUAUAUGUUAAAGUGUACACACACACUUUUUUAUUUAUUUAAAACAGCCACAGCUUUGUGUGUUUCACACAGCCCUUGACUGGCGAGAGUUGGCCAGUUUUGCAAAACAGGGAUGGCAGAAAGUCAGGGUUUCCAAACCUGGAGCGGUGGUGCGUGAGCAGAAAGCGCAAGCGUUUGGUACUUCGGACAAGAGGCGCGUUGCGCUGCUGCAAAACCCCCACGUUUAAAAGGGGUCGGGGUUGCUGAGCCUGCUUGUAAAGCCCUCUUAUUUUUAAAAGAAGUCAGCGUUUUUGUAAAAAAAGAGAAAAGACUCGAGAAAGCAGGAAACGCGACGCGGUGUGGUUACGGAAGCAGAUGCGCCGUGGCUUGCCAGGCUGCUCUCUGGAGAAAGAAACUGCUGCUCUCGUUAUCUAUAUGCUGGGAAACUAUCUCUAGAUGCGGGUUAUCCGGACGUGCGGACAGACAGAGAGGGGUCCGCGUGUGACCCGCUGUAACACACACCUGUGACUUUAAUAAACAAGCGCCUUUCUUUCAAGUGUAACCUCUGAUUCCGGAUUGCUUGAAAUAUAGAAGAAUAGUCACGUUCCUAUUUCCGAACACAGAACCAGAAUUCAAGAAGGCCCCCUUCCCCUUUUAAUAUAACGCUGCCAACAUUUAUUCUGCCUUUGCGCCACAAUGUGCGUCACUUUGUCCAGGGAAUGCAUUUUAAUUGGAUUCGCCCUCCUCGCGAUAUCACGAGGGCUAGAAACUUGGAGCGCAAGCCAUCAAGAAUGCCUGUUGCGUAAGACCCUUUGAGCUCUUACACGAUUCCUGCUCUCAAUGCGAAUUGCGCUGGAGAAAUCCCUAGAUAAUAUUCUGGGAGCUAAAAAAGGAAAAAGGAGCUGUAGUCAGUCAGGUGGCAAGCUUGUGGACAUUUAAAUUGGAGCAUUUCUACCCAGAAGUAGUAAGCCCCGUUGCACCAAACGGGACUCCCUGGUGUAAAUGUGUAUAGGAUUUUAUAUCUCUAAACACACUUGUUGGACAAUAUUCCAUUGAACUCAGUGGGAAUUAAUUCUGAGCAAUCAGAUGCAGAGUUGAGCUGCAAAGCUGUUCAUUGAAAGGUAGGGGGGCCGCUAAUAAAAUGGGUCCUACUCAUGAGUAAACAUGCAAGUCUGCCAGUUUGGUAGACAACUGACAGUGGGGGCCCACCCAUGACCUAGGGAUACUUUUUUGGUUUGUAAGCUGCACUGAACUCUGCUGAACUUCCUCCACAUUAAAUAUACCCAGGAUUGGAACAGCUUGCUUAUUUAUCGAAGCAUUUAAAAUCCGUACUUUUAUACGAGUACAGAAAGGUGCUGCGCAGCAUGCAAGACUAUAGCAACAUGAGUAAAAGCAUCAGGGGGAAAAAUCAUUUAAAAUGCCAAUUAAUAUAACGAUCAAUUAUUAUUAUUAGUUUAAUAUAUGCCUCGCAUUUUUACAAAAACACACAGUGGCUCUUGCAAACACCCGCAAGCAGAAGGCAGGUGUUACUUGUCCCUAAAACAGCUGGAAACACAGGUUCAUUUUGUUGCCGUUGUUAAAAACUGAUGAUAGGCACGAUUCAGCCAACAAGCUUUCGAAGGUUGUGGGGACACUUUAGAGGAAAAAGGGGGUGUGCUGAGAACUGGGGGGGAAACAGGAGACUCUGUAGGAGGGUGGACUUCUCUGGGGUGGCGACAUGAUCUGUUUUACUGCGCCCCAGGCAGACGGCAAUUCACCUAGUAAAGACAAAACUUAAUGGGUGCAGACUUUUUGGUGUUGGAAAAAUGUUUGCUUUCUUUCUCUGCCUCCCCCCCCCCCCCCCGCCCAACAACUCCACAGAUGUGUUUUCACAGGAGUCUGGAUUUGCAAAUCCAAACCUGUGGUCAGGAUGAGCCAGAUAUAAUUGCUGGCAGGCGCGUCCCUGUUGUGAAUUUUGCAAAGGGGGAAAGCGCAUUCUGCUUACUUAUAUUUUAAAUUUCCAGACCGUCCUUAAUCUGAGGAACACAGGGUGUGUUUUACAGUGUGCAAGAACACAAAAAUACUUUCCAUAGAAACCUACAAGAAAACAACAACAAACCUCCGUCGGCCUAACAGGCUAUAAAUGAAUCUUCAUCCAGGUUUGGGACUCAGGCUCCCACCUCUUACAUUUGCAUUCUGCCUUUUACGUAUGUGUCCUACUUGUGGUUCUCAGAGAGCUGAUCUCGACCUGCUUAUUAGGUUCAGAAAGAUGGUAGCCCUACGCACCUUCAGGCCUGUCUUUAGCUGCUUUUUGACAGCACUUAAGGAGAGCUGACUGGUUUUUCAAAGGUAGGAUCAGGCUCACAAAACAAGCUUUUCUGGUCCUGGGUGGCUGUACUCUAAUUCAAACUGGGGUGUGGCCGAAUAUAUUUUGCCUUUGAAUACUAGGUGCUGGGUGCGGGGAGGCAGGUGCGCUGUUGCUCUCAUAGGUGCCCAGGGGCAUCCUAAAGGCAUUUGAUGUUCUUACGUUGCAUGAAAAAGAAAAUUGGUUUUUCAAGGGGCAGGGCUGUAGCUCAGUACUGCAUGUGCAGAGGACCCUGGGUUCAAUCACCAAUCGGCAGGGGGAGACUCUCUCUGCCCAAGACCCCAGGGAACUGAUGCCAGUCAUUGUUGACAAUAAUGGGGUAAUGGACCAGUGCUUUAACGCAGUUUCCAUGUUCCUAAAGGUAAAGGGACCCUGACCACUAGGUCUAGUCAUGGCCAACUCUGGGGUUGCGGCGCUCAUCUCGCUUUAUUGGUCGAGGGAGCCGGCGUACAGCUUCCGGGUCAUGUGGCCAGCAUGACUAAGCCGCUUCUGGUGAACCAGAGCAGCGCACGGAAACGCCGUUUACCUUCCCGCCGUGGUGGUACCUAUUUAUCUACUUAGAAUCAUAGAAUCAUAGAGUUGGAAGAGACCACAAGGGCCAUCGAGUCCAACCCCCUGCCAAGCAGGAAACACCAUCAGAGCACUCCUGACAUAUGGUUGUCAAGCCUCUGCUUAAAGACCUCCAAAGAAGGAGACUCCACCACACUCCUUGGCAGCAAAUCCCACUGUCGAACAGCUCUUACUGUCAGGAAGUUCUUCCUAAUGUUUAGGUGGAAUCUUCUUUCUUGUAGUUUGGAUCCAUUGCUCCGUGUCUGCUUCUCUGGAGCAGCAGAAAACAACCUUUCUCCCUCCUCUAUGUGACAUCCUUUUAUAUCUUUGAACAUGGCUAUCAUAUCACCCCUUAACCUCCUCUUCUCCAGGCUAAACAUGCCCAGCUCCCUUAGCCGUUCCUCAUAAGGCAUCG